rnacentral:rRNA from 1 species
UACGUAGGGCGCGAGCGUUGUCCGGAUUUAUUGGGCGUAAAGAGCGUGUAGGCGGCCAGGUAGGUCGGUUGUGAAAACUGGAGGCUCAACCUUCAGACGUCGACCGAAACCCCCUGGCUAGAGUCCGGAAGAGGAGAGUGGAAUUCCUGGUGUAGCGGUGAAAUGCGCAGAUAUCAGGAAGAACACCCGUGGCGAAGGCGGCUCUCUGGGACGGUACUGACGCUGAGACGCGAAAGCGUGGGGAGCGAACAGG